GACAGAGGGUGCAAACGUUGUUCGGAAUUACUGGGCGUAAAGCGAGUGUAGGCGGUUUGGUAAGUCGGAUGUGAAAGCCCCGGGCUCAACCCGGGAAGUGCACUCGAUACUGCCAAGCUAGAGUGUCGGAGAGGUUGGUGGAAUUCUCGGUGUAGAGGUGAAAUUCGUAGAUAUCGAGAGGAACACCAGUGGCGAAGGCGACUCGCUGGACAGGUAUUGACGCUGAGGUGCGAAAGCGUGGGGGAGCAAACAGG
rnacentral:rRNA from 1 species